UACGGGGGGGGCAAGCGUUGUUCGGAUUUACUGGGCGUAAAGGGCGCGUAGGCGGCGUGGUAAGUCACUUGUGAAAUCUCCGGGCUUAACUCGGAACGGUCAAGUGAUACUGCUGCGCUAGAGUGCGGAAGGGGCAACUGGAAUUCUCGGUGUAGCGGUGAAAUGCGUAGAUAUCGAGAGGAACACCUGCGGCGAAGGCGGGUUGCUGGGCCGACAUUGACGCUGAGGCGCGAAAGCCAGGGGAGCAAACGGG
rnacentral:rRNA from 1 species